rnacentral:misc_RNA from 1 species
UACGGAGGAUCCAAGCGUUAUCCGGAAUCAUUGGGUGUAAAGGGUGCGUAGGCGGAUGCCUAAGUCCGAGGUGAAAUCUUGCCGCUUAACGGUAAAAUUGCAUUGGAUACUGGGUGUCUUGAAUCUGACAGCGGUCGGUGGAAUUCGUGGUGUAGCGGUGAAAUGCAUAGAUAUCACGAAGAACAUUAGUGUCGAAGGCGGCCGGCUGGGUCAGAAUUGACGCUGAGGCACGAAAGCGUGGGUAGCAAACAGG